UAAUAUGCAACAUUACAAUCAAUUUUAAGGGCAUUUUUCUUAGGAGUUAUAAGAACCGAAUUCCCAAGUUAAUUGUUUUCCUCAUAAAAAACUUCACUAGCUCUACUUUAUCCUCGUCAAACUUGUAACUUGAUAUCUUGUUAAACUUAAUCUUGUAUGGAUCAGGAACAAACAUAUCAAGUUCGUUCUUCUAGUGAAGUUCCUAGUGAGAUGUGUGUGAAGCCAUUUAGUUGGAGUAAGAACUUUUAAUGUAUCCAUAUCAUUAGUAAUUUAUCAUAAAGAAUAUUAUUCCAAGAAAAAAACAUCAACAAUAGAAAAGGAUGUUGGUAUUGAUGGCAUAAGGGAAUCGUUACCGAGUGGAAACGAGUGCAACAUGGUCUUGGGACCCGUAAGAUUUUAU
rnacentral:lncRNA from 1 species